GGUGAACGCUGGCGGCGUGCCUAAGACAUGCAAGUCGAGCGGGCCGCGGGGUUUUACUCCGUGGUCAGCGGCGGACGGGUGAGUAACGCGUGGGUGACCUACCCGGAAGAGGGGGACAACCCGGGGAAACUCGGGCUAAUCCCCCAUGUGGACCCGCCCCUUGGGGUGUGUCCAAAGGGCUUUGCCCGCUUCCGGAUGGGCCCGCGUCCCAUCAGCUAGUUGGUGGGGUAAUGGCCCACCAAGGCGACGAGGGGUAGCCGGCCUGAGAGGGUGGCCGGCCAAAGGGGCACUGAGAAACGGGAACGACGCCUACGGGAGGCAGAAGGUAGGAAUCGACCGAAAUGGGCGCAAGCCUGACGGAGCGACGCCGCUUGGAGGAAGGAGCCCUGCGGGGUGUAAACUCCUGAACCCGGGACGAAACCCACGACGAGGGGACUGAAGGUACCGGGGGAAUAGCGCCGGCCAACUCCGUG
rnacentral:rRNA from 1 species